rnacentral:lncRNA from 1 species
GGGGCCCUGUUUUUACCUCAUUACUGGACUAUGUGCAUUUUGGACAUUCAAUUGAUGACGACUAACCUCUAAUGAUGUUUCUGUGAUGUUACUAAAGUUAUUUGAUACCAGAAUGUCUACCUCAAAGAGAGUGAAUAUUUUGGGCAACAAGAGAAAGGAGCCAGAGAGACCAAGAAGAUUUUAUUCUUUUAGGUUCCUCUCUAAGCAGCAUGAGGAGUAUUAUGCUACUGUCCAAGAGAGGCGUUUGCUGAUUGUUGACUCACUCACAAGUGUACCAGAUUGUUCAAGUAAUAUAAUCGGUAAUGCCGAUAUCAUUCUUCCCAAGAGACUCGAAAGGCCUUAUCGUUCGUGUGAAUUGAGAUCGUAAGACUUGCGAAGAAAAGUAAUUUUUGCGUAUGCAAGAACACAAAUUAAAUAUGCAAUGCGUUUGAUUCAGUUGACAAGAAAAAGAUUAUGGAUGAAUGGAGUUGUUGGGGGUUGACAAUUUCAUCUUAUCCNCUCCCUCUUAUCUACUCCUCUUGUUUAAUGUGCUUGAUUAUCUAAUUGUUGUGCAAACUUUCUUGGCCUACCCUUAACCCGAUCCCUCGGNGAAAAGAGCCUAUUACUAAUUAUCGGCUUGUUAUCCCUAGCCUCCCCUAGCAAUUAGCAAUGCAUUACCGAACAGAAGCAAAAACAAUUGAUCGUCCUACCUCCCUAUCCCUAGGUGGUAUUUCAUUAAUCAAGGAAUUUCUCACCAGUUCAUGAC